UAACCGAGGAAGCGCAGGAAACUGGGAAACUUGAGUGCAGAAGAGGACAGUGGAACUCCAUGUGUAGCGGUGAAAUGCGUAGAUAUAUGGAAGAACACCAGUGGCGAAGGCGGCUGUCUGGUCUGUAACUGACGCUGAGGCUCGAAAGCAUGGGUAGCGAACAGGAUUAGAUACCCUGGUAGUCCAUGCCGUAAACGAUGAAUGCUAGGUGUUGGAGGGUUUCCGCCCUUCAGUGCGCAGCUAACGCAUUAAGCAUUCCGCCUGGGGAGUACGACCGCAAGGUUGAAACUCAAAGGAAUUGACGGGGGCCCGCACAAGCGGUGGAGCAUGUGGUUUAAUUCGAGCAACGCGAAGAACCUUACCAGGUCUUGACAUCUUUUGAUCACCUGAGAGAUCAGGUUUCCCCUUCGGGGGCAAUGACAGGUGGUGCAUGGUUGUCGUCAGCCGUGUCGUGAGAUGUUGGGUUAAGUCCCGCAACGAGCGCAACCCUUAUGACUAGUUGCCAGCAUUUAGUUGGGCACUCUAGUAAGACUGCGGUGACAAACCGGAGGAAGGUGGGGAUGACGUCAAAUCAUCAUGCCCCUUAUGACCUGGGCUACACACGUGCUACAAUGGAUGGUACAACGAGUUGCGAGACCGCGAGGUCAAGCUAAUCUCUUAAAGCCAUUCUCAGUUCGGACUGUAGGCUGCAACUCCCUACACGAAGUCGGAAUCGCUAG
rnacentral:rRNA from 2 species